rnacentral:misc_RNA from 1 species
AAGUCGUAACAAGGUUUCCGUAGGUGAACCUGCGGAAGGAUCAUUAACACGUAUCCAACGUUAACCCCCUGUGAACCUUCAUUGUACGAGUUACAUCCACAUCAUAAACCGGCAAUCUCUGGUAAAUCAUCGCCGAACAGUUUUGAUUCAGAGACCUCUGGGAAGGGUGUACGGUAGUGCGAGGCAAUUAGUGUCACUAGGAUGGCGCAGUAGGAGGCGACACGGCGGCGACCAGGUCACUGGGCUACGGCCCCCCUGAUCACAACCUUUGCAUGAAAACGGGCCUGCGCUGAGGUGCGGCCACCCCUAAUGCUUGAACAACUGUUAACAAUGGAUAUCUUGGUUCUC